rnacentral:rRNA from 1 species
UACGUAGGGUGCAAGCGUUAAUCGGAAUUACUGGGCGUAAAGCGUGCGCAGGCGGCGCUGUAAGUCAGCUGUGAAAUCCCCGGGCUCAACCUGGGAACUGCAUUUGUGACUGCAUCGCUGGAGUACGGCAGAGGGGGAUGGAAUUCCGCGUGUAGCAGUGAAAUGCGUAGAUAUGCGGAGGAACACCGAUGGCGAAGGCAAUCCCCUGGGCCUGUACUGACGCUCAUGCACGAAAGCGUGGGGAGCAAACAGG